GCGCCUUUUAAGUGGGAAACUUAAAUAGUUGUUGAUUAGUUUUUAAAAACAAGCUUUUCGCUUUGCACACUUUUAUCACAGUAUCACACUUGAAAGAAUCUUUUUUGAUGAAACAAACUCUAACUUCACGUACAGAACCGUGGACAAACGGAACCGUGCUCCAAGCUGCCAACGACGACUACGAACGGCUACAACAUCUGACGAUGUUGAUCUAGAUUUCAAUUUCGAUUAAAUAAAAUAAAAAAAAAACAAAAGAAUUGAUUUAAAAUUGAAAUUCAUCUGCACUUUCUUUCAUUAAUCCAACACAAACAAUCAGCACAAUGACUGUAUGACUACUGACGUCAAAAAUGAUCGCAUUUCACUCACAAGGAAUACGUAAAUCAACCAAAUCUGAUUUUGAGGAUUAUCUGAUAGAUACAAUAUCUAUCUUUUGCAGCUACAUGUAGAUAGAUAGAUAGGUAUGUAGGUAUGUAUAUUUAUGACUCACCGCAUCAUAAGUGUGUUCUUUCACUUAUCACAACUUCAAAAUAUGACAUUUUUUCGCGUUUUGUUUGUUUUUCCGUCGUUGCUUAAAAUAUUUAGCUGCCUAAUAUGUUUUUAUGCAAGAUCACUUCUUGUUAGAUACUAAAAGUGUAUCUCAUAGACACACUUGUUCUAUAGCUACCUUCCGGAUGGUUGAAAAGUCAUCAACUAACUGUCCAACCAGUCUUCUCCAGUGUAUCCAGUUCUGGUGUUUACUACGUCCGUCGUCGUCGUCACCGCUGCUAGCGGCCGUACGUCGUUGUUGUUUAUUGCUGCGAUACUAUAUUCAGGAAGGUAUGUACUCAUAUAUGAGUGUUUAGAUACAAUUUUUAUUUAAGUAUUUUUUGUUUCACUUUUUUUUUGUGGGAAAUUUACGAAUGAACUUUAUGUACGAAAAACUAAGUCAAUGGUCUUUAUAACAGCAUUGGUACACCAUGUGAAUGAAAAUUGAAUUUUCCUUCCACAACGUUACGAUCAGUGAUCUGUUGGUGCGUAUCCAUUAAGUACAUAUGUAUCUACAAUUGUUAAGAUAGAGUUAUAGUUAGAUACUCGCAGUGCAUAUUCUGUAGUUCUGAUGGUGUAGUCUGGAAUACGGCAGCAGCAUGAAUAUGGGGUUUUGGUGGGGAUAACAACGCUAUUCUCGGAGUGUUAAUAUUGCUCUUUAAAUGGAAAGCCACAUUAAAACUCAAAGUGAAAUUAAAUUUAAUAAAUUAAAAAAAAAA